GACGAACGCUGGCGGCGUGCUUAACACAUGCAAGUCGAACGGAAAGGCCCUGCUUUUGUGGGGUGCUCGAGUGGCGAACGGGUGAGUAACACGUGAGUAACCUGCCCUUGACUUUGGGAUAACUUCAGGAAACUGGGGCUAAUACCGGAUAGGAGCUCCUGCUGCAUGGUGGUGGUUGGAAAGUUUCGGCGGUUGGGGAUGGACUCGCGGCUUAUCAGCUUGUUGGUGGGGUAGUGGCUUACCAAGGCUUUGACGGGUAGCCGGCCUGAGGGGGUGACCGGCAAAAUUGGGACUGAGAACGGCCCAAGCCCCCUACGGGAGGCAGAAGGGGGGAAUAUUGAACAAUGGGCGGAAGCCUGAUGAAGCAACGCCGCGUGCGGGAUGACGGCCUCGGGGUUGUAACCCGCUUUCGCCUGUGACGAAGCGUGAGUGACGGUAAUGGGUAAAGAAGCACCGGCUAACUACGUG
rnacentral:rRNA from 1 species